AGCAGCCGCGGUAAUUCCAGCUCCAAUAGCGUAUAUUAAAGUUGUUGCAGUUAAAAGCUCGUAGUUGAAUUUCGGGAUCAAUAUGCUGGUCGUGCCAUUGGUACGUACUAGUAUUAUUGGUUUCUCCUUUCUGAUGAGUCAUGAUGUCAUUAAUUUGAUGUCAUGGGGAAUCAGGACUGUUACUUUGAAAAAUUAGAGUGUUUAAAGCAGGCUCGCGCUUGAAUACAUUAGCAUGGAAUAAUGAAAUAGGAUGUUUGAUUCUAUUUUGUUGGUUUCUAGGAUUGACGUAAUGA
rnacentral:misc_RNA from 1 species